rnacentral:rRNA from 1 species
GAUGAACGCUGGCGGCGUGCCUAAUACAUGCAAGUCGAGCGAACAGACGAGGAGCUUGCUCCUCUGACGUUAGCGGCGGACGGGUGAGUAACACGUGGAUAACCUACCUAUAAGACUGGGAUAACUUCGGGAAACCGGAGCUAAUACCGGAUAAUAUAUUGAACCGCAUGGUUCAAUAGUGAAAGACGGUUUUGCUGUCACUUAUAGAUGGAUCCGCGCCGCAUUAGCUAGUUGGUAAGGUAACGGCUUACCAAGGCAACGAUGCGUAGCCGACCUGAGAGGGUGAUCCGCCACACUGGAACUGAGACACGGUCCAGACUCCUACGGGAGGCAGCAGUAGGGAAUCUUCCGCGAUGGGCGAAAGCCUGACGGAGCAACGCCGCGUGAGUGAUGAAGGUCUUCGGAUCGUAAAACUCUGUUAUUAGGGAAGAACAAAUGUGUAAGUAACUAUGCACGUCUUGACGGUACCUAAUCAGAAAGCCACGGCUAACAACGUG